rnacentral:rRNA from 1 species
UACGGAGGGGGCAAGCGUUGUUCGGAUUUACUGGGCGUAAAGGGCGCGUAGGCGGCCACUGCAAGUCAGUUGUGAAAUCUCCGGGCUUAACCCGGAAAGGUCAACUGAUACUGCAGGGCUAGAGUGCAGAAGGGGCAACUGGAAUUCUCGGUGUAGCGGUGAAAUGCGUAGAUAUCGAGAGGAACACCUGCGGCGAAGGCGGGUUGCUGGGCUGACACUGACGCUGAUGUGCGAAAGCCAGGGGAGCGAACGGG